AUUUUUUCUCUGCCUUUUGGUUGUGAUCAAGUAGGGUAUCUGUCCUUUUACAUUUGAUGUUGAUAUAUAGCUCUAGAUAUGAUCUCUAUCCAAAGACAACAUAUUAACUGAAUUUUUGAUGCAAGGAGUUGGCAUAGGAGUUUGCUUCAUCCAUUCCACUCAUCAACCUGGUAUUGCAAUAUCUCCAGGAUGGUACACCCCCA
rnacentral:snRNA from 1 species